CGGGGCUGCUCGGCUCGGCUCGGCUUGGCAUGGCACGGCACGGCUCGACGUGGCACGGCACGGCUCGGCUCGGCUCGGCCAAUAAGGCCUCUCCACGUGCUUGCCACUCUGCGCCUCUUGCCACCCCCGAGCAUCUUAAGCGAGAAUCUGGGAAUGCAGUAUCUUCUGCCAAAGCAGAGUAGGGGUUUUUCAUUAUGUUUGAAGUUUGCUUUCACCCUGCUCCUGUAUUUCUGUUACGAGUGCAGAAUCUUCUAUGGCACGCAGCAGUUUUGAGGUGGUUGCAUAUCUCUUCCAUGCUGGCAGGGAGGCCCGAAGCAGCCCAGAGCUCUUGCUGUCCGUGUGUCCGGUCAUAAAAUGCCAGUGCAGCCUCAGCUAAUGCAACCUCUGUUUGCACCACCCCUUCUAAAACUGUCCUGAUGUUUCAGCCCAAGUUGUCCAGUGCCAUUGGGUAUCACUUCCGCCAUGCGGCACUCCCAUGUGACUCAGGUGGCCGGGUUACAUUGGCCCAUGUGAUGUUGACACCUGUGUGCCACUGACACCCACCCAAUGACUCCCAAGCGUGCCACUGCUGAGGCACAUCAGGGCCCCCCGCGUGUUCAGGCUGCAAACUGCUGCGUGAGGCCCUGGCUUCCUCCAAGCACCAGCGGGGACUUUUAUAAAAGCCCAAAUAAGCCUAAGUCCUCUGUUAUAUGUGGACCUCAGCCCAUACUAAAAUACCGAGUAUCUAUAUCCCUACUUAUUUUGAUGUCAUAUCCGAAACAUCUGUAAUGGCACCCACGCCGUUUGGAAAUGGGAUUUACCCACCUUGUUUGACUACACGCUCUGAAGAGAAGAGCAACAAAGCGUGCAGAAAAAAAAAAACCCUCAAACAAGCUCUGAAGCCUCCCAACAGCCAGAAGCAGAUGUAGGCGAUCUCCCCUUCUUUGUCACGUACAGCAGAAGCUUCCCACGCACCAGAAGGGACGUGGUGUGCAAGGUGCCCAGGAUGCAUCCCUUCAGAGGGUGCCAUGCCAUGGGCCACUAUAUAAACCAGACAAUUAAGUGUGGGUAACAACUGCCUGAUCAGUUCUCACCUGCGUGGCCCGAUUGCACCAGACUGUGCAUUUUUGAAGGUGAAAUUGUGAUUUUAUAAUUCCCAUCCCUUGUGAACUUCUGACACCUCAUGAGCGCUAGUAAUUAAAAAAUAACAUCCUCACACUUAUUCCACGUUGUAAAAGCGAAUUUCACACGGCUAAAAUGAAGUAAAGCGCUGCCACCGAACUGCUUUUAUAGUUAGCGAGACUCCAUUAACUGGAAAGCAACGAAGGCAAGGGAGCCACUGAUCUGGGCUGUGGUGAAAGAAACACAUACACUCCAAAGACUUUUUUGGGUAUUUUACUCCAAGGGUACAUGCAGGUGGGAUAUGGAGGGAUCAGUCACACCUGGCCUGGGGAAGUCAGCAUCCAGAACAGUCUGCACUUGGCUGAAAAUGAGACAGUUGCCAGAGCCAUGGCUCAGGACAGGCGAGUCUCACAGCAGGACUGACGUGUCCAAAAGGUAAGCACACAGAACUUCCUCCUGACAUCAGAUGAUGAAGAUGGGCACGAAUCCAAAUUGUCUUCUAUGUACCUAAAAUGCAACUUGGGCAAAAUGUAUAUGCAUACAGAAAGUCAUUCAGAAAAUCCUGCCCAUCUUCAUUAGGCACCUCCCAGGCACGUACACUGCUAGAUGAGACUUCCUGAGGUACCCAGUACUGUCCUACUGCAUGAAUACAGCAAGCCCUAUCCAGAGCCUGAUCAAGUGAACAGGAGCGCAGCCUUUCUGUGAGGACUGCGGAGUUGAACCAUGUUCCUAUUUCCUUUCACUGGCUGGGCCCUCCCUACUUUAUACCCUGCUGAUCAGAACUAAGGAGGUCUACUGAGUGCACAGGACCAGAAUGCAGAACCACUCUGGAUUUUGACAACGACUGAGAUUCCCCG
ensembl:lncRNA